GCCUCGCUAUUUCAAUCGGCAGAAUUUGAGACUCUUAAAGACCUUCUACGGAUAGUGCUUCAGGAGAUUGAUCUCACGGUUGUGGGUUCGAGUCCCACGUGGGGCG